rnacentral:lncRNA from 1 species
UUUAGUCCUUAUGAAGAUUACUCCUUUGAUCCUUCCUUCAAGAAUGUCUUGAAGAUGUAUAACACCACAAGAAUACUUCACAAGGCUUAAACAAUAUAUGAAUUGGCCCACAACAAUAAUAAUAUGACAAUGAUCAAAAUGGUAUAUGGUUUUCCACAAUUAUUUGCAAGACAACAACGGUGUUUUUUGCUCUUGAUUCAAUGGGUGGAAGAAGAGUUUUGUCUUGCAAUAAUGUGGGAACCAUAACCCCCACUUUAUAACAAAAGAGUUACAUAACCCAAGAGUCACAAGAGUUACAUAACUCAAGAGUCACAAGCUUGUAACCACGGUUACAUAUAUGUAACCUUAGUUAGCUCAUCAUUAACUGAGGUUACCCUUUUGGGUAUCUACACAUUAGUCCUACACUUUAUAUGACAACACAUUGGCUCCCUUAAAAUAAUGUCCAUAAGACCACAAAAUUAGGCCAAACCAAAAGAUAGCACAUAACAUAUAAUUUAUC